UACUACUAGAUGGACCUGCUUGGAUGUUACUC
rnacentral:piRNA from 1 species